ACCCACCCCACACACACAGGCAGAGGAAUGUGGAGAUAAAGAACAUUACAUAUAAAAACAAAACCACCAUGUGUUGAAGAAACCAAACACACACAGCACACUUGAGAACCUCUCACAAAGCCAGCUAUGCGAAAUAUCUCUUGGUUUACUUGAUUUUGGCUCAGUCACAGCCUCUUGGGUCUCAGUUUCCCCUCUACUGCAUGAGUGCCUUGCUCUGGGUCAUUGCUCCUUUUCUCUGAGUCUAAAGUCACUUUGUCACUUUCCGAUUCUGUUAUCCCAAGUGUUAAUGAGUACGUGGCAGGUAGGAGAGGCUUCGGGUCUGAGGAGAUCAGAACUGAAAGCGGCCUGGAUCCAGGAAAAAGUCCUGAGUUGAGCUGGGUUUUGAGGGAGCCUAGAAGUGUGAAUCAGUGGGGGUGGGGGUGACAUUCCAGGUAGGGAGAAAGGCAUGUGCAAGGGCGAGGCUAGGGAGCUGAGGGGUGGCAAACAGAUUAGUGAGGCUCAAGAAUGAGGUUGGCACGGGCUGGAGGGAGCCUGGGGAGGAAGUCGGGAAGGGGCAGUCCCCAGGCUGAGUAGCUGAGCUGGGAAAGUAGGGGAGGAAGGUGGGUGGGGGAAGAGACUCUCUCAGUCCAGAAAUUGAUGCCAAAGCGCAUCUAGCCAAACUCCAGUCACCCCUGCCAAGAGGACUCACCCACCAGAGAAGGCCCUUCCCACCCCUCCCUGCUCUGCUAGCUCGGCCCCACCCCCAGCGCCCGAGGUGAGCCAGGACCCCUGAGGCCAGGACCUCCUUCACCAUGAAGCAAAUGGAGGCACCACCCCAUCCUCAGGGCAAUAGUGGGGCAAUAAAAUAAUAAUCACGGGUAGGAACUAUGACAAAAUAAAUUGUCUUCCAUCCGCCCUCUGAUAAAGUCGGUCCCACAGCAGCAAAACUUCAUAGUGUUGACUGUUGUUUUCACUAGAGUCUGCUUCUUUGAGCUACAGGAGAUUUAUAAGGUCACCUAAUGUGCAAAGUCUCCUGACCAGACAUGACCUUAAAGCUAUGAAACCCUCCUAGUCCUCCCAGUAUGCUCUGAAACUCUCAGGCCCUUGGAACAUCCAGUUCAGUUUGAGGCUCCCUGAUCUAAUCCACACCAUUCCUUGCAGAUGAAGAAACUGAGGCAUGAGGGGAGAUAGCUUGCCAGGGGUGACAUGGUCAACAAGCGGUGGGGCGGGGGGGACUUCUGCUCCAGCCUUCUAGGUCAGUACUUCUACAAGCCAGCAGCCCGGCCCCAGCCACCAGUGCCAGGAGAGAUUACGGUCAGGGAGGCAGCCACUGGGCCAUACUCUAAUCAUGAGAAGGAAUCCAUCUGAGUUGCAAAAUACCUUUCUGCAUCCAGUUUGCAAUUACUCGCUCCAGUGGGCCCCUGCAGGGACACUGCGGUCCACCCACUGGCCUACUUGACAUUGGCCUUGUCAUAUCUCCCAGCAUGACCCUCUGUUCCUAGUGGUUGCAUAGACUGGAGAGAAAGACCAUUCUGUACAGAUCUCCUCUUUGUGGGCCAUGCCCUCAGAAUGUAGGAGAGAGGAGAGGCCUUCUUGCCCAGUGGGGACAUUCUUUUUGUUCUUCCCCGUGUGUGUGUGUGUGUGUGUGUGUGUGUGUGUGUGUGUAUUUGAGUUGUAUUUGUGUGUGUCAGUGUAAUGCGGGCCGCAAAGAGAGGCUCUUCUCCAUCUGCUCACAGAAAGAUCUACUGUCUUAUACUUCAGGAAACCCUUGCAGAGGCAGGAUAAGCAGCCACCUACCAUGAAGAAGCCAUCAUCAUCCAAAAAGAACCCACAGUUCAGAAGGAUGCCCACAACAGCAAUGGACGCCAGCAACGUGGGCAACAGAGGAGGUAGUGGCUUACAGAGCGGGCUCCACCAGUUCAUCAGGCCAUUGAGUGUUGGAUCAAGGAAGGCUGGAUCAGAAUCACUGGUCCCUUGGGCCCUGGUUAUCAGAGGAGAGGCUUAACGAGUUCCCGACGAAUGCACAAAGGCUGAACUGCAGGAGAGUUAGCCUUCGCUCCAUCCCCUCAACACCUACCUACGUUUUGGAGGAUACCUGGCGAGGGACCUCAGCAAAUCGUUUGUUGAUUGGUUGGUCGGUUUUGAGAAAGCCUCUUUGCACAAAGUUCCGGCUAUCCUGACCCCUGGAAUCUUCCUGCCCUGCCUCUGGAGCAUUGGAAUUACAGACCUGCGACACUUUUAACACUCGAUGCUUAUUGUGGAAAAGUUGCUAUUUCCGAUGCUCACAGAAGUGGGCAGCCAUGCCAUGUUAACCCAUCCACACGUUUGGCUGGAUCUAUGGAAGCCCUACUUUGUUCCAGUCUGGUAAACAAGCUCAAAACACAUGCUGCCCUUUCUUCUACGGCGCGGUGAAAGUGUGAGUUUUACCCAAAGCCAGCAAUCGGGGUGGGGCAGGUGGGGUGGGGCAGGAGUACAGGAUAACAAAGGUCAAGAGAGAAUCUGGGAAAACCAUGAAGUCUGAGCCGGAGAUUUAAGGAGCAAAAAGUUGUCUUAUUAGGAAACUAUAAGGUAAAGAACAAGGGGGGAGGGGUUUCUUCAGGGGGCGGUGUGCAGAAAGCAUACAGCAUAGGCCCCAAGGGGUAGUCUCGGGGUCCCUGUGGGUCUCGGAGACUCUGCAACAGCAACUGUUUUCAGUUCCUUUCAUAGUAACACUAUCAAGACACUCUUUACCUUUUUAUUCCUAUCCCUAAAUUUACAGUGCCUCCCCUCCCCCAAAGAUGCUUCUAGGACGACUUGGGAUUUCAUGCCAGGUUGAACACAAAAGCUGAUAGAGAGUCCAACUGGCUUUUGUUAAGCACAACAUUGAAGAGCUUUGGAAAACAGUAUUCCUUGUCAUUAAACUAGUGCUGCUCCAAAGAAUGGUCAUUUUAAUAACAAUCGCUUAAAUUACUGUCAAGUAGAUUCAUUUUAUUAUAUUCAGAAAGGGUAAUGAUAUAUACUCUAAAUUCCUUGGUUUUGAUUUCUAAUAUCAUAAACAUUGCCAUUUUAUUUUCUUUU
rnacentral:sRNA from 1 species